GACGUAGGGCGCAAGCGUUUGUCCGGAUUUAUUGGGCGUAAAGAGCUCGUAGGCGGCCUGUCGCGUCGACCGUGAAAACCCGCAGCUCAACUGCGGGCUUGCGGUCGAUACGGGCAGGCUGGAGUUCGGUAGGGGAGACUGGAAUUCCUGGUGUAGCGGUGAAAUGCGCAGAUAUCAGGAGGAACACCGGUGGCGAAGGCGGGUCUCUGGGCCGAUACUGACGCUGAGGAGCGAAAGCGUGGGGAGCGAACAGG
rnacentral:rRNA from 1 species